CAGCGAUUACGGCUCGAGUCUUCUUGGGUAUGACACUACAAGCUUGGCACACCUGUAUUUGGGGAGUUUCCCCCAUUCUUCUCUGCAUGGCCUCUCAAGCUCUGUCAGGUUGGAUGGGGAGUGUCGCUGCAGAGCUAUUUUCAGGUCUCUCCAGAGAUGUUAGAUCGGGUUCAAUUCCGGGCUCUGGCUGGGCCACUCAAGGACAUUCAGAGACUUGUCUCGAAGCCACUCCUGCAUUGUCUUGGCUGUGUGCUUAGGGGCAUUGUCCUGUUGGAAGGUUAACCGUAGCCCCACUCUGAGAGCUCUGGAACAGGUUUUAAUCAAGGAUCGCUCUGUACUUUGCUAUGUUCAUCUUUGCCUCAAUCCUGACUAGUCUCCCAGUCCCUGCUGCUGAAAAACAUCCCCAUAGCAUGAUUCUGCCACCACCAUGCUUCACCGUAGGGAUGGUGCCACGUUUCCUCCAGAUGUGACACUUGGCAUUCAGGCCAAAGACUUCAAUCUUGUUCAUCAGACCAGGGAAUGUUGUUUCUCAUGGUCUGAGUCUUUAGGUGAAUUUUGGCAAACUCCAAGUGGGCUGUCAUGUGCCUUUUACUGAGGAGUGGCUUCUGUCUGGCCACCUUACCAUAAAGGCCUGAUUGGUGGAGUGCUGCAGAGAUGGUUGUCCUUCUAGAAGGUUCUCCCAUCUCCACAGAAGAACUCUGGAGCUCGGUCAGAGUGACCAUCGGGUUCUUGGUCACCUCCCUGACCAAGGCCCUUCUCCCCCGAUUGUUCAGUUUGGCCGGGUGGCCAGCUCUAGAGUCUUGGUGGUUCCAAACUUCUUCCAUUCAAGAUUGUUGGAGGCCACUGUGCUUUUGGGGACCUUCAACACUGCAAAAAUGUUUUGGUACCCUUCCCCAGAUCUGUCUCUCGACACUAUCCUGUCUCGGAGCUCUAUGGACAAUUCCUUCGACUUCAUGGCUUGGUUUUUGUUGUGACAUGCACUGUCAACUGUGGGACCUUAUAUAGACAGGUGUGUGCCUUUCCAAAUCAUGUCCAAUCAAUAGAAUUUUCCACAGGUGGACUCCAAUCAAGUUGUAGACACAUCUCAAGGAUGAACAAUGUAAAACAGGAUGCUCCUCAGCUCAAUUUCAAUUCUCAUAGCAAAGGGUCUGAAUACUUAUGUAAAUAAGGUAUGUUUUUUUUUUUUACAUAAUUACAUUUGCAAAAAUGUUUAAAAACCUGUUUUUGCUUUGUCAUUAUGGGGUAUUGUGUGUAGAUUGCUGAGGAUUUUUUUGGUAUUUAA
rnacentral:lncRNA from 1 species